CGAGGAUCUGGAGAACAGCAGCUGUGCGGCAGGACUGGGCUCGCCUCCACAGACCCCAGAAGUGCAGAGUGUGCCCCUGUGAGAGGCACACUAACUGCGGUUAUGUGAGUGAACCGAUGGUCAUUUAGGACUGAGAGGCAACAGCACAGUAAAGAUUCUGCCUAUCAUUCUAUGUGUGUCAGAUGAAGUUGACUGUAAGCUUUAUUUCAUUACAACUGUACAUUUCCUCUGUCUCAGGCUUUGUCAACUCAGACUUCAGUUACCUUUUUCUCACGUCUCCAUCCCAGAGCCCCAUGGAGAGGAGUGAGAGCGUGGCUUCCCGAGGGCUUUCCUUCCUCCUCCCCUCUGCCUCCCCAGAUUUGGUCUGACAAAGCUUCUUUCUAGGGUCCUGUUAUUUGGGGUCUCGCUGAUGUCAGCAGAGGCCGGCCCCCUUUGUUGCACUGCUCCCUCUGGCCUGAGAAUGGGAGCUGCAGGAUCCCAAGAGCCCUUUAUUUUCUGGGCGGUUCCCUGAAGCUGCUUCUCUCCUUGCAGGUGUCUCUCUGUGCUCAGCCCUCCCUCUGGGGAGGCUGAGUUGUCACUUCCCCAUCAGAGGAAGACAAUCUGUCUCUGACCAGUGUCCUGGCUAAGAUGGGGCCCCGGUGGAGGUGUGUGAGCAGAUGACUCAGAGACUCUUCUUCAUAUUAAAAUAUUCCAGUAAUUAUGUCAGGGCCGAUCCGGCUCACGCAUGGCACUUUACAAAAGAUACACAAAUCGUGGCCCAGUAGGCUCUGGGCCAGAACACACGCAAGGCACCGGCGUGCUCCACAGCACCGCGGGCGGAUCAGAGCAUCUCCAGCCUGUCAAAGACCCACUCCUCUGUAUCUCUCCACGGGAGACAAGCCAUUUGCCGGAGCCACAUAAUGGAGCAUUCAGCCUUUGAAUUGCCACUUCUCUGAAGACUCUACAGGGCUAUGAGGGUGACUGCCUCAGGCCGGGAGGAAGGGAGGAAGAGGAAACAGAGACCCAGGGACACGCAGGAGACGAUGCCUUAUGCCAACUGAGGCCGAGAGUGGAGUGACAUCUAUAAGCCACGGCACACUGGCCACCGCCGGAAGCUGCAAGAGGCAAGGCAGCUUCCUCCCCCCGGAGCCGUCAGAGAGCGCAAGGCCCUGCCCGCGCCUUGAUUUCAGACUCCAGCCUCCAGAACGUGAGACAACUUUCUGUUGUUUUUACCUCCACCCCCUCUCCAGUUUGUGUCACUUUGUUAAGGCAGCCCUAGGAAAUGAAUACUCCCUCCCACCCACUUCUCUUUGCCUCCACUCUGCUGGAGUGCCGGGCCUGGAUGGGGAACAGGCCUGGCAGGGUUGCCCCUGGGACUACCCAGGGUAGCCUGACUGAGCACCUAUGUAGGCAAAGAAAACAGAAGAAAACAAAACAAGACAUCUGGUAAAAUUUGAAUUUCAGAUCAACAACAAAUUAACUUUUUU
rnacentral:lncRNA from 10 species